UACGUAGGGUGCAAGCGUUAUCCGGAAUUAUUGGGCGUAAAGAGCGUGUAGGCGGCUUGACAGGUCUGCUGUGAAAACUCGAGGCUCAACCUCGAGAUGUCGGCGGAAACCGUCUGGCUAGAGUCCGGAAGAGGAGAGUGGAAUUCCUGGUGUAGCGGUGAAAUGCGCAGAUAUCAGGAAGAACACCUAUGGCGAAGGCAGCUCUCUGGGACGGUACUGACGCUGAGACGCGAAAGCGUGGGGAGCGAACAGG
rnacentral:rRNA from 1 species